rnacentral:misc_RNA from 1 species
CAGCUGCUUAGAGGGAUGAGG